GACACCCGUAACUGGAACUUAACCACCUCGGGGGCAUACUCGGCCGCCUCUGCUUACGGCGCAAUAUUAUUUGGCUCCUACUCACGUUUCGACACGACCAAGGUUUGGUCCGCAAACGCCGAGCCCAAGUGCAAGUUCUUUGCUUGGCUAGCUCUACACGGAAGAAUCAUCACCGCGGAUAUGCUGGCCGUGAGGGGAUGGCCUCACGCCCCCAGAUGUUUGAUUUGUCUUUGGCAGUCAGAAACAGCAACCCACCUAUGCAAACACUGUCCCAUCACAGUCGCGGUCUGGACCCAGGUGAACACUUGGACGAAUGAAGGUGUUUCAAUCUCGGCUUCCUCCCGGAGCCAGGAAACGUGUCUGACUGGUGGGACAAGACUUUGA
rnacentral:rRNA from 1 species